rnacentral:rRNA from 1 species
GACGAACGCUGGCGGCGUGCUUAACACAUGCAAGUCGAACGGUAAGGCCCUUCGGGGUACACGAGUGGCGAACGGGUGAGUAACACGUGGGUGAUCUGCCCUGCACUUCGGGAUAAGCCUGGGAAACUGGGUCUAAUACCGGAUAGGACUCCUGGCUUCAUGGUUGGGGGUGGAAAGCUUUUGCGGUGUGGGAUGGGCCCGCGGCCUAUCAGCUUGUUGGUGGGGUAAUGGCCUACCAAGGCGACGACGGGUAGCCGGCCUGAGAGGGUGACCGGUCAAACUGGGACUGAGAUACGGCCCAGACUCCUACGGGAGGCAGCAGUGGGGAAUAUUGCACAAUGGGCGCAAGCCUGAUGCAGCGACGCCGCGUGAGGGAUGACGGCCUUCGGGUUGUAAACCUCUUUCAGCUAUGACGAAGCGCAAGUGACGGUAGUAGCAGAAGAAGGACAGGCCAACUACGUGCCAGCCGCCGCAGUAA